GUAAAAAGGACAUUGGAGAGACUCUAAUACCCUACAACAAAGAACGGAUUUCUUGAACUCUUGAGACAAGAUGAAGAUCAACGUGACGUGCAACAAUACGUUCAGAAAAACCCAUUUCUAACAGACGUGAAGCAAGAAUAAAGGUACUAACCAUGGAAGGAAACUUACCUGCUCCCAUUUCAUUUCCAACCCUUGGAAUAAUAUCAUCAUCUUGACAGUCUGCUUUUGGAUUGUCCACAGGCUCUGUAUCUGCACAAUUCCACUUCCAAACCUCAUGAUGGGGUGCCAGCAGAAAAACUCCGCUGAACUGUCCAAGGGAGGUCUGAAGAAUCUCCAGGGAUUCCCAAUUCCUGUAAGACAGCCUCAGCCUUGAUCUCCAUUUCUUGGUUUUACAACCUUGAAUUUGCUACCCACAGAGCUGAAGCUUCUCAGCUGGGAGCACCUGGAGGCUGUGUUGUAUUACCGAGCCUCUUGUCCUGUGAGCCCAAGACUCACUUCAACAGAGGAGGCCCUUCAAGGCCUCAAAUUCCCCAGCACCAGUCUGAUCACAAUCAGGCUGUAGCACCCACGUGUGCUGGCCCAGGUUGCCUCAGGUGCUCUGUUUUUGCUCACUGGGCCUCCUUUACAGAAGGAGUUCACAGAAUUCAGCUGUCAGCCUUGCAAACCGCUAAAGCAGAAAGCAACAGUUUGAUUGCUGCAAUAUUAAUCACAUAUGUCCACGGAUCAUUUUGGUGCAAGUAAACAGAGAGAGCCACAUGGAGGAGCUGAUUGAGGAGGACCAGAGGUUUGAUAUAUUUAUUUGUAUAAAUAUAAAAACAUACAUCUAUAAAAUAACUUGAUAGACAAAAAAAGCGACUAAAAUAUUUCAUGGCAAACCAAAUGAGAUGUUUGAUAUACCUUGAAGUUGUUCUUUUUCCCUUACUUGCAGAGUAUGGUCUGUUCUGAGCUGUGGGCACAGAAGGAAAUUUCUUCUUGUUUUCUACCUAAAAGUUUUUUUCAGAAAUUAGUGGGGUAUUAUUAUUAUUGAAAUUUUUUUCUAGCUUU